AUUGAACGCUGGCGGCAUGCCUUACACAUGCAAGUCGAACGGCAGCGCGGACUUCGGUCUGGCGGCGAGUGGCGAACGGGUGAGUAAUGUAUCGGAACGUACCAUUGAGUGGGGGAUAACGUAGCGAAAGUUACGCUAAUACCGCAUAUUCUCUCCGGAGGAAAGCAGGGGACCGCAAGGCCUUGCGCUCUUUGAGCGGCCGAUAUCAGGUUAGCUAGUUUGUGGGGUAAAAGCUCACCAAGGCGACGAUCUGUAGCGGGUCUGAGAGGGUGAUCCGCCACACUGGAACUGAGACACGGUCCAGACUCCUACGGGAGGCAGCAGUGGGGAAUUUUGGACAAUGGGGGCAACCCUGAUCCAGCCAUGCCGCGUGAGUGAAGAAGGCCUUCGGGUUGUAAAGCUCUUUCGGCCGGGAAAAAAUCGCAUGGAUUAAUACUCUGUGUGGAUGAUGGUACCGGAAUAAGAAGCACCGGCUAACUACGUGCCAGCCGCCGCGGUAACAC
rnacentral:rRNA from 1 species